AAUAAACAGUCUGCUUUGGUUCAUUCAGUGGUAGUAAGGCAAAUUUUACAAAUGAAACAAUCAUUCACCUCCACUUGAUGUGUCAGAGCCUAAGACUACAGUCAUCAGACCAAAGUCUGGGUCCCACAUUGUUCAAACAUUUCCUAUGCAGGAUGUCUACUCCAGCUGCUUGGCUUGAUGGGGAAGAAGCAGUGUUCUCUGAGUCCCUCCUGCAUCUGGUUUCUCCCACAGCACUCAGCAGCCUGUGCUACCUAUAUACUGGAGCAUGAUGAAGGAGUAAUGAUCCAUCAUUGCCUGUCCCCUGCCUGAAG
rnacentral:lncRNA from 1 species